AAAGUUAUCAGCGAAUUUCUCCUGAAUAAACAUCUGCAGAAUCCUUGAGCAGUAGCUCAGCAUGAGGAAAAGAUAAUGUUACCUCUCCUAGAGCAAAGAUAAUCAACAUAGGAAAAGAUAAAACUCUAUGCUCAGUGAAGCAUGAGACUGGGUCAUAAAUGCUAUUUCAUAUUAUAUGAGAUACAUUCUCAGAAUUGCAAAGUGGAGAAAAAAUUGUCUCGUGAAAGAUAUUUUGAACAUAAUUCAUUGUAAACAUUCUGGUUGAUAAAAGAAAAGUCUAGAACUUAGUAUUUGGCAGUUGUUACAGUUUGCGUACUUUGUUGAACAAAAGGUGCUGUUUUCAGUGCUCUGGAGAAAGUCAGCUGCUGAGAGAGAAGACAACAUUGGAAUUCUUCAGUGACAUUUUUUGUUAAACUUCAUUAAAGUGGAUGAAAUGAGAUCAAUUUCUGAAGACUGAUGGGGCAGUAAUGAAGAGAGGCCUACUGCUAUUGAGAGCAACAGACAUCUGAUGUUUUUAUUCUGAGACCAGCUCCAGGGGAACAUCUUUACUCCUUCGUUGCUGUUCUCUGUGUAAUUAUCACCUUCACUGCUAAGGACAGACUGCAUAUCAUUUAAUCACUCCAUUGGCAAAGUCCUUGCCUGUGACAUCGAAAAGCAGGCAGGAAAGUGUUAUUGAAAGAGAAAAGGACACAGGAGGAUUUUUUAGUACUGCAAAACAGGGAAUGAGAACUUUUGUAUUUGCUCUAAGAUAAUAAAUGAUAAACAUAAUAGAGAAGGCAGAUAGCGUCUUUUUCAUGAAAGGCAUUUUUGAAAUCCAAACUGCAUUCAGCACUGAUGCUUUUCAGUUUCUCAGACAGGAUUACAAAAUUUUAGAUGCUAUUGAACCAUGAGAUAAUGUAGUCUGAUUAUUUGUUGCUUAUGGUCAGAAAAAGACAGUACUAUAGUGUGGAUAAUGACCUAAUCAGAUGACAAAAGAUAAGGCUGGAUCUGUGUUCGUGUUUCUAAACUUAGUCAUAAUUCCCCUACCAGUCUUGUCUUUGUCUGCAUAAUUGUAUUCUAUUUAGGACAGGGAAAUUAUUUUAUACAGUUUCCUAGGGUGUUUCAAACUUGAAGCCUUUCAGUAAGUAGUUCUGUCCCCUGUGACUGUUAUUUUGAAGGUACCGUCAAGCUGAUUUGUAGUCAAAUUGUAGAAUUGCCUCCUCGUCUUGCACUCUCCAGAGUAGGACUCACAGCUUCCUUAAAUCAGUUCUACCAUCCCAAAUGUAGUGACUCAAUCCACCUCACUUAAGCAGACCUCACUGUUAUGAGUCAAAGGUCCUAUCUCCAAAGACCUCUUUAUGCUCAUAUUUUCAACUUGGAGUAGUGUUUUGUGCUAAGGAACUUGCUGCUGUUCAGAUGAAUAGAACAAGCUUCUUACGUACUUUAGUCUAUAAUUAUAUUUAAUCCUGUGCUCCCCAAUAUAAGAAAGAUAGGGGCUUACUGAAGUGAGUCCAGUGGAAGACAUAAGAAAACAAGUUUUUUUAUUGUGAAGGUGGUUCAACACUAGUGCAGGUUGUCCCAGGAGCUUGAGAGUCUUCAUCUGUGGAAACAUUCAUGACCCAACUGAACAUAGUCCUAAGCAACCAGUUCUGCUUGAGCAGCAGGUUGGACUAGAUGCUCUUCAGAGGUGCCUUCCAACAACAAAUACACUAUAAAUCUUCCUUCCAUCUAAAAACCAUGCAUAUUGAAGGAAAUCUAUACAACACUGAAUGGAUCAAAGUUCGUUGCAUUCGAGAUGACGAUCUGAAGAAUUCUCCCCCUGUGCAGUACAUACUGCAUCACUGAAGUGUAGCUCUUUGACCAUGGCCAAACUGACCCAUAUAAAAUAUUUCUGCCUUCUGAAAAUGUCUUCCCAUCCAGUAAGGUGAAAAAAACCCCAUCAUUUAAUUUGCCUCAGAGAAGAAAGUUCAGAAUAAAUUCAGUAAAACUGGUGUGACUUCUCUAAAAUCAUAAUAUGUAUAGCAAGAAGCUUAAAAUCCAGAAGAACUGUCCUUACUAUGAUUUCUUUUCUGGAAAAAAAAAAAGUUACAACAUUUAGUGAAAUUCAAUGUUAGUGGAGUUUCAACUUUAACCAAAAUUAAUGGCAAGUCUAGCAGUUAAUUUCUGGCAGUGGAUAUUUUCCAAUUCUCUUCCAGAAUCAAAAGGUUUAAAAGAAAAACAACCAAAAAACUUUCUUAUAGAACCAUCCCUACUAAUGGAAAAAAGUGCAAGAUGUUGUGUUCCUGUUCUCAUCCUAGACAAAUUUUAAAAGCAAUAAAAGUAUUACAUUUAUCCCAUUCAAUUUUGUUUCCAAAAUUUUGCAAAAUGGUGGAAACAGACAAACCCAAUAGGUUUGUCCAACAAGAAGAAUUCAAUGCUUCAGGCAGAAAACCAGUAUCUGUCUUGGUUUAGGUUUCCAAAAGCUCGUGGAAGUUAUUAUUUAUUGUGGGUAAACUGAGUGUGAACUCCUCUUUUUUUUUUCCUCUCCCUCAUAUACUGUGCAUUAAGAACAAGCUUUUCAAAAGAGAUAGUUAGGAUUAUUUUCAGAAACAACUCAGCAUCUGCCGUCUGAAAUUAGAUCUUUUAAUGGUGCAAAUUUGAUCCAACAAACUUUAUAAAAGCUUUCUCAGGGGCCAGAAUUUUAUUCUUCGUAUGUGGUUAUUUGAAUACCAAUUUACUAUGAUUUGGAACUCAAACUCCUCUAAAUGAAUUACUAGAAAAUAAUAUUUCUGGAAUAUCAGAAGAAUUAAGCAGAUACAUUUUCAGGUGUAGAACACUAACAAUUCAAUUAUUAGUCUAUUAGCGUGAUGGAAAAGAAAACAUGAAAAAAAGUAACAAUCAAACAAUAUUUCUUUUCCUGAGAAAUCUGUUUUCAGCCCAGAAAGGAAUGUUUCAACCUGGUCUGUGGGGAGUAUUAUAAAGAACAAAUAUGUUGUGACAUUUUCCAGUUAUGUUGCUUUCUCUAGCUUCUGUUUUAAAUAUGUAGCUGUUGUUUUCCUAAUGUGACAAAAUCCCAUUGCUCUCACCUUGGUAAUUAAAGUGCAGUUAUACCUCAGGUGAUAAAAACAUCAAGACAUGUGUUAAUGUUACAGAGAUUAUAUUUUCCCCCUUUCAUUUUAUUCAAAGAUGAAAAUAAGAAUACCUAGUUACCUUGGAAAGAGAGAAUGGUAAUGGAGCAAUGUGACUAUGGAAGACAAAUUUAAAUUAAAGGUGACUGCCAGAAGAACAGUCACCUUGGAUUCUACAGACAUAGCAGAAAAUACGUCAACAAUGUCUAGAAAGUCUAAGGAGGGUAAAUCACAUUCACACAGUGGGAUCAAAGACAAAAUGUAUAUGCUUUAGGGAAGUGGGUUGGAUGAUAGUUUUGCAGCAUGCAAUUCUCCUGUUAAAUAUUAUAGCAGCAAACAAAAUCUGAUUUCACCUUUUCUUACUACAUA